GAAUUCACUAGUGAUUCAGGCCUAACACAUGCAAGUCGAGCGAUUUUCUUCGGAGAAGAGCGGCGGACGGGUGAGUAACGCGUGGGUAACCUGCCCUGUACACACGGAUAACAUACCGAAAGGUAUGCUAAUACGAGAUAAUAUACUUUUAUCGCAUGGUAGAAGUAUCAAAGCUCCGACGGUACAGGAUGGACCCGCGUCUGAUUAGCUAGUUGGUAAGGUAAUGGCUUACCAAGGCGACGAUCAGUAGCCGACCUGAGAGGGUGAUCGGCCACAUUGGAACUGAGACACGGUCCAAACUCCUACGGGAGGCAGCAGUGGGGAAUACUUCAAGAGGGCGAAAGCCUGAUGCAGCAA
rnacentral:rRNA from 1 species